rnacentral:pre_miRNA from 1 species
AUAUGAUGAUGGUAAUGGGUGAUGACGUUGGUGAUGGUGAUAAUGACUAUGAUGAUGAUCAUCACUGCCAUCGUCAUCAUCAUUAUCAUGG